rnacentral:rRNA from 1 species
UGGGGAAUAUUGGGCAAUGGGGGCAACCCUGACCCAGCGACGCCGCGUGAGGGAAGAAGGCCUUCGGGUCGUAAACUUCUUUUGUACGUGAAGAAGCAGAUGACGGUAGCGUACGAAUAAGUCCCGGCUAACUACGUGCCAGCAGCCGCGGUAAUACGUAGGGGACGAGCGUUGUCCGGAAUUACUGGGCGUAAAGGGCGCGCAGGCUGCGCGUCGAGUCGGCUGUUAAAGAUCCGGGCUUAACCCGGUGAAGCGGUCGAGACCGACGAGCUGGAGUGCUGCAGAGGCAAGUGGAAUUCCCGGUGUAGCGGUGAAAUGCGUAGAUAUCGGGAAGAACACCGGUGGCGAAGGCGACUUGCUGGGCAGCAACUGACGCUGAGGCGCGAAAGCCAGGGGAGCAAACGGG